GAAUAGGAAUGACAAUGGAUAUGGAUAUCCGAAAUAUCAUCUGAAUCCGAACCCGAACGAAGUAGGUUUAUCCGAACUAAACGGAUAUGAAUUUGGUUAUGGGUAUAGAAAAUAAAAACCCGACCGAUAUGGAUACGGGUAUGAAUUUUGUAUUUACCCGACCCGAACCCGAACCGAACCCGAACCCGAAUAAAUUAUAUAUAUACAUACUUUACUUUUAUUUAUUUAUAUAAUAUAUAAAAAAUUUAAUAAUUUUUUUCUCUUA
rnacentral:lncRNA from 1 species